rnacentral:rRNA from 1 species
GCAUAUCAAUAAGCGGAGGAAAAGAAACCAACAGGGAUUGCCCUAGUAACGGCGAGUGAAGCGGCAACAGCUCAAAUUUGAAAUCUGGCUUCGGCCCGAGUUGUAAUUUGCAGAGGAAGCUUUAGGCGCGGCACCAACUGAGUCCCCUGGAACGGGGCGCCACAGAGGGUGAGAGCCCCGUAUAGUUGGACGCCUAGCCUGUGUAAAGCUCCUUCGACGAGUCGAGUAGUUUGGGAAUGCUGCUCAAAAUGGGAGGUAAAUUUCUUCUAAAGCUAAAUACCGGCCAGAGACCGAUAGCGCACAAGUAGAGUGAUCGAAAGAUGAAAAGCACUUUGAAAAGAGGGUUAAAUAGCACGUGAAAUUGUUGAAAGGGAAGCGCUUGUGACCAGACUUGCGCCCGGCUGAUCAUCCGGUGUUCUCACCGGUGCACUCUGCCGGGCUCAGGCCAGCAUCGGUUCUCGCGGGGGGGUAAAGGCCCUGGGAACGUAGCUCCUCCGGGAGUGUUAUAGCCCAGGGCGUAAUGCCCUCGCGGGGACCGAGGUUCGCGCAUCUGCAAGGAUG